rnacentral:rRNA from 1 species
UACGUAGGGGGCAAGCGUUGUCCGGAAUCAUUGGGCGUAAAGAGCGCGUAGGCGGUCCGGUAAGUCCGCUCUGAAAGUCCGGGGCUCAACCCCGGGAGGCGGGCGGAUACUGUCGGGCUAGAGUCCGGAAGAGGCGAGUGGAAUUCCUGGUGUAGCGGUGAAAUGCGCAGAUAUCAGGAGGAACACCAAUGGCGAAGGCAGCUCGCUGGGACGGUACUGACGCUGAGGCGCGAAAGCGUGGGGAGCGAACAGG